GGAGAAUGAGGAAAGAGAGAGAAAGAAAGAGAGAGCGCGAGAGAGAGAGAGAGAGAGAGAGAGAGAGAGAGAGAGAGGGGAAGAGAGAGAGAAUUCUGCUGAUGCUGGAGGCAUGAUAUCUCACGUUGCGCCUUGACUCUGAAGGAAAAUGUAAACUGAUCACACCAAAAUCUAUCUUUGGAGAAGAAAUUCAAUUAAGGGCAUCUGGAUGUCUCUCUGAUCCCUCAUUUUCUAAUGUCCUGGCAAAGCCCCCCAGAUGUUUAUCAGUCUUAUAUUCAGACAGGCCGCCAUCUCAAACAAACCCACCCGCCAUAGGGGAUGGAUGGGCAGCCUGACACUCAAGCAGACAGCCAGGCACCCGGGCCCUGGCUAAUAACGCGGCAGUAAUCCUGCAUGGAUCUACCCAGGCCAAGUCGAAGGGCUGCAACGAUGGAGGGGGCUUUGGUGAACCCUGGGGAGCGGAGGUGAAGUCCUCAGAUAGUAACCCCCAUUGUGGCCCGACUGGAAAUGCAUUGUGGG
rnacentral:lncRNA from 1 species